GUGACAGAACGCAACCACACACACACACACACACACACACAAACUCGAAAAAGGGUAGCCAUCGUUGCAUUGUUGCCGUCUUCAUUAGCGUACGCCUUUGCUGCUCUUUCCCCUUCUCAUCUUACCACUUCCUCCUUUCAUUUUUUUUGUCGUGGAUAACGGUUGUUGCUGCUCCUUGUCUGUUGCUGCCUGCCUUCCCUCUGCCCCGAAGCGCUCGGAGGAGCUAGUCGUAGGAUUUGACUCUUUUAGGAUUGUUGCUUGCCGGCAUCUCAGGGAUUGGGUACGACGCAACAGGCCUCCGAACGUGUGCCCCUUUGAGGCCGCUGCUACGGUCGACGUGGCGUACGCGCGAUUUUCGAUGCCGUGUCAUCUGUUCGCUCGAUCAACGCAACACACAUGCACGCAUUCCGGCCACACCACGCACCGCAGCAGUGCCAUCAUUGACUUUUUUUGCCCGCCUAGCCGCCCCUUCGUCUUCCACGUCUUUCUCAAUUUUGUCAGUCUUUGUGUGCCGCUUUUGUUGUUAACUUGUUAGAGAGCCCUUUCCGUUGAUUGGGUGCAUGGGUGUGCAUCGGCUUUCCGUCUUCGCCUUUAGCACCCACAAACGUGCAGAAUGCCUGCUUCCACGCCCUCUGCGCCACCGCUUCGGCCGACCUCCAACAGCGUCAGGAGCCCCGCUGCGCUGGACGAUCUCAAGCUGCAGUUCGCGACCGAGGAGGUGCGCAAACGGUUCUCGGACAUCUCGAUGGCGGACAUGCUUGCAGUGCUGAGCACGCUCCUGACCAAUCCGCGCAUCCGCGAGUACGGCGGGGAGCAAGCCGGUGGGGUCUUGAACGGCAUUCACGGGCUUCCUCUCGCGCGGGAACCGAAGCAAAACUGCGCAAGUACUCGUGCAAGACGAAACUCGACAAGUCGCCUUCAGCAGCAGGCGAGCGCGAGCUCGUCCAUCACGGCGAGUGAGCUGAGCUCGCGGGACUGGAGCACGAGAAACUUUGAGAUGGACGAGGUACCAAUAUUUAAGGCGCCGGCCGCCUCGCGGCUGAGCCCGGAGUGGGCCACCAUUGUCGCCUCCAUCCUCGACAACGCGCGCCAGUAUCGCGAGCCCGCCGACGAGCACCGCACCGUCGUGGACAGGGUGCAGCUUUCUAUCAAAGACUGGCUCGAGAACACGAGCGUGGAGGCGGCGGAGAGUGAGAAGAUGCAUGCCGCGGCAGGCUCCGCCGCUUGCGAUUCCCCUGCAUGGCUUGCGACACUGACACAGGUGCGCCGCCUGGCCGAGGACGUGUGCCACAGCAAAUACGACGCCGUGUACAAGCGACUCUGUAGCGAGGCUGCAGAGGAAGGUGGCGAGGGAAUGGCCACGCCAGUGUAUGCUCUGCACGAUGAGGACAGCACCAUGGCGCCCUCCUCCGUCGUGGCACGACAGUCGGUGCACCGUGCCGCGACCGGCCCAAUCGGUAUACCGCCCUUCUCCCUUGUGAUUCAAUGCGGACGCGACGGCAGCGGAACAGAGGUGCCCGAUUUGCUCCUCAGCAUCGACCUUGACGCGAGCAACGGCGGUACGCGCGGCAGCGGCUUGGAGAGCAGCAGCGCCUCUUUUGUCGUCGGCUGCGAGUGGUUUCAGUGGGUCUUCCUCGUCCAAAGCCCGCUGGCGUGUCAGAGUGAGCCUUACCCAGAAGUAGAGGAUGGCGCCGCAGGCAAGGAUGCCGAAGCCGUCGCUGCGGAGCAACAAAAGUGGCGACAACGGCACUGCACCGUGCAGCUUCUCUACCCCUCUAGGGCCGGUUUUUCAGAAGGCUCUGAUGAAUCCUCGGGCCUGCGUUCCGCCGAGGCUGAGUAUGAACUGAGUGAGCCGCACGUCGUGCUCUCCUCGCUGCUUGGAGUGGCCAUGCGCGUAUGGUGUCAGAACCACCCGCACAUCGUCGCGCAAGUGCUUCAGCUGGAGGAGGACACCUAUCCAUGGCAUAUCUACGACGGAUCUCUCUUCUGGUCUGCGUGGCCCCUGAGCGGCCCGGCGACACACGGUGAGUGCGAGUGCGCUGCAGCAAGCGACUCGAUGCCAAUCCCGCUUCUCCCGGGAGAGUGCUUCGCACAUGAAUCGGAUCUGAAGGAUGACGACUACUAGUUAGUAGGCAGCCCGCUCGGCGCCGCGCCGUACCAGGCGCCACCUCUUCCGCGUGUUCUUGCGCCGCCAUGAACUGCUGAUUUUCCGUUCGCACUCGACAAAAAAAAUCGCAAACGGGGGUCCCGUUUCCGCCGCCGCUCAGCAGUCGCGGCGCCCGCCCACCCCCGCCCGGCCGGGGCCGUUCCCCUGCGCUGCCGCCUAAGGGGCGAGCAGGUGGGUGGCGCCGCGACGAACGUCUCGCCCGCCAACCGAGCACGCCCACGCCCCAAACCCCGCCCACCCGAACCGCCCCGCGGGCCGCCCCGGCGCAACAUUACCGGAGACCCCACCCGCCGACAUCCGCAGCGACACACCGCCCCCCCUCCCCUGUGUCGGAGACGCCUGGCCCUUACACCGAACCGGGCCCCCACCCCUCCAACAGAUCCGCCGAAGGAAGGCACGAACGAAAACCAAGGCGCUGAGCAACAAAACGGCAAGGCCAAACUGCCGCAGAAGACGUUUCAGAAGGAGCAAGUGCUUUUUGGUUAACGCUUCCCCUUUUAGCUUCCCUUGGGCGCGUAGCGUUGCAGCAGGUCAAACCCUGGGUACUCGUCGAUGGGGCAACAAGCUUUUGGUACUCUGGGAGCGUGGCGCCUGAGCAGUCUCGACGUUACGCUUCUAUCAGCUUCAUAGUCUGCAAAAAAAAAGCAGCGAAAGUUUGAGUGCGUCGCUAUCUGUGCUGUUCUAGAUUCGCCCAGGCGCACCGUUGUGAGGCUUCAGCUCGGGUGGAUCAGGCAUGCGAAAAAAAAAAACAAUGCCCACAUUCUAUGGCUUUCUUACUGUGGUGCAGGGCGGUGCAGAAACUCUGUCUUCGGUCGCGUUGCCGUCGCUAAAAGGUAGUAAACUAUGGUAAUUGGACAAUCUUUCAAGAUAAUGCCACUGAAUACCCGCUGCUAACGCCCGAUUGCGGGCCCUUUGUGCUUUGCGAGAUGCGAUGUCAACGCGAACUUUAUAG
rnacentral:misc_RNA from 1 species